AUGAAAUGGAGCUGCAUCAUCCUCUUGCUGGUGGCAGCAGCUACAGGUGUCCACUCCCAGGUCCAACUGCAGCAGUCUGGGCCUGAGCUGGUGAGGCCUGGGGCCUCAGUGAAGUUGUCCUGCAAGGCUUCUGGCUACACUUUCACUAGCUACCCUAUCAACUGGGUGAAGCAGAGGCCUGGACAGGGCCUGGAGUGGAUUGGAUGGAUUGGUACUACAAGUGGUAAUACUGGCUAUGCACAGAAGUUCCAGGGCAAGGCCACACUGACUUUAGACAAAUCCUCCAGCACAGCCUACAUGGAGCUCAGCAGCCUGACCUCUGAGGACUCUGCUGUCUAUUACUGUGCAAGACACAGGUCUUAUCAUGGUUGUCACAAUGUGUUUGCCUACUGGGGCCAGGGGACCCUGGUCACUGUCUCUUCAGCCACAACAACAGCCCCAUCUGUCUAUCCACUGGCUCCUGGAAGGGGAGGCACAUCUGGCUCCACAGUGACCCUAGGAUGCCUGGUCAAGGGCUAUUUCCCCGAGCCGGCAACCGUAACUUGGAACUCUGGAUCCCUGACCAGCGGUGUGCACAUCUUCCCAUCUGUCCUGCAUUCUGGUCUCUACUCCCUCAGCAGCUCAGUGACUGUGUCCUCCAGCACCUGGCCCAGCCAGCCCGUCGUCUGCAACGUAGCCCACCCGGCCAGCAAAACCAAGGUGGACAGGAAAAUUGUGCCCAGAGUUGGCUGUUCUGAGCCUUCGUCAUGUCCAGGCCCAGAAGUAUCAUCCGUCUUCAUCUUCCCACCAAAGCCCAAGGACGUGCUCACGAUCUCUCUGAGUCCCAAGAUCACGUGUGUGGUGGUGGACAUUAGCCAGGAUGAUCCCGAGGUCCAGUUCAGCUGGUUUGUAGAUGACACGGAAGUGCACACAGCUCAGACGCAACCCCGGGAGGAGCAGUUCAACAGCACCUUCCGAGUAGUCAGUGUCCUCCCCAUCCUGCACCAGGACUGGCUGAAUGGCAAGGAGUUCAAAUGCAAGGUCAACAGCGCAGCCUUCCCUGCCCCCAUCGAGAGAACCAUCUUCAAGAAGAAAGGGCAUAUCCGGGCUCCACAAGUAUACGUCAUGCCCCCACCCAAGGAGCAGAUGACCAAGAAUAAAGUCACUGUCACCUGCAUGAUAUUAGGCUUCUACCCUAAUGACAUUGAUGUGGAAUGGCAGAAGAAUGGACAGCCAGAGCAGAACUACAAGAACACCCUGGCCACCUUGGACGAGGAUGAGACUUACUUCCUCUACAGCAAGCUCAACGUAAAGAGGAGCGAAUGGGAGGCACAAAAUAUUUUCACCUGCUCUGUGGUACACGAGGCCCUGCACAACCAUCACACAGAGAAGAUUCUUUCUCACACUCCUGGUAAAUGAGCUUAGUGUCCUGUGAGCCCUCUGGUCCUAAAAGAUGUUGACACCUACCUCCACCCUUUCCCUGUGUAAAUAAAGCACCCAGCACUGCCCUGGGAACCUGCAAAAA